AUACGUAGGGAGCGAGCGUUGUCCGGAAUUACUGGGUGUAAAGGGUGCGUAGGCGGGACUGCAAGUCAGCUGUGAAAUGCCGGGGCUCAACCCCGGAGCUGCAUUUGAAACUGUGGAUCUUGAGUGAGGUAGAGGGAAGCGGAAUUCCUAGUGUAGCGGUGAAAUGCGUAGAUAUUAGGAGGAACAUCGGUGGCGAAGGCGGAUUGCUGGGCCUUUACUGACGCUGAGGCACGAAAGCGUGGGUAGCAAACAGGAUUAGAUACCCUGGUAGUCCGUGCCGUAAACGAUGAAUGCUAGGUGUAGUGGGUAUCGACUCCCUCUGUGCCGCAGUGAACACAUUAAGUAUUCCACCUGGGGAGUACGGCCGCAAGGUUGAAACUCAAAGGAAUUGACGGGG
rnacentral:rRNA from 1 species